GCGGAGCCGGGCGGGCGAAGCUGGAGCGGCGGUGGCGGCGGCGUAGGGAGGCCGGGGCCGGGGCUGAGGCCGCGGCCGGGUCUGCGAGGCCCUUGGGGCGGCAGGCGGCGGCGGCCCGGGGCUCGAGCCCGGAGGCAGGAGCAGCCGCCAUGGCCGAGAGCAUCAUAAUUCGUGUCCAGUCCCCGGAUGGAGUGAAGCGGAUCACAGCAACAAAGAGAGAAACAGCAGCAACAUUUUUGAAAAAGGUAUCUGUGGCCUGGGUAUUGACCCUCAGGAUAUUUUUCAUCCUCUACUCUUACUGCCAUCGAUACCUUUUCUCUUUUCCUCGUUUUCUUAUUUUCCCUAUUCCCAAAUUGCCUCUUGCAUUGCCUUUCUCUAUCACAGUUGGGUUGGAUUGCUAUAGGAUGAGAUGUUUGUCACAGCUGAUCACUGCUCAAAAUUAUAGGACCAAGAGCCCAAAGGUAAGUGUAAAAAUAUUUCACGGCUGGGCGUGGUGGCUCACACCUGUAAUCCCAGCACUUCGGGAGACCAAGGCGGGUGGAUCACGAAGUGAGGAGUUCAAGACCAGCCUGGCCAAGAUGGUGAAACCCCGUCUACUAAAAAUACAAAAAUUAGUCGGGCGUGGUGGUAGGUGCCUGUAAUCCCAGCUACUUGGGAAGCUGAGGCAAGAGAAUUGCUUGACUCAGAAGGCAGAGUUUACAGUGAGUCGAGGUGGUGCCACUGCACUCCAACCUGGGCAACAGAGUGAGACUCCAUCUC
rnacentral:lncRNA from 1 species